rnacentral:misc_RNA from 1 species
AUUUCAAGUGGGUUCCUUCUCUUUUUCUUGUUUUUUCCCGUUCUUGUAUUUCUUUUUUUUUUUUUGAAGAAUUUGAUGAGCAAUAAAAAUGCAUUCUUUUAAGUUUAUGGUUUUGUUGCUUCUACAGCUACGAGUCAAAGUAAGACAUGGCAGGCUAACUUCUCUGCUUUCAAACAAAAAAGUUCUAUCUUCUUUGCUUUGCCUUUGUUCUGUCUUCUUCCACGGGGAUCUGGAUGUGUGACCAGGAAUAUUUUUACUGAUUUUUUUAGCGCCUUUAGAUUCCAGACUAAAAAGGUGUCUUCUUUUUUUUUUCCCUUUUUCGUUUUAAAAAUUUUUUCUUUGUGGGUUUUUGUUGUUUUAUUUUGUUUUUCUAGAUUGAGAUUUUUUACUAUUCUUGAUUCCAAUAAUUCCUUUUCGUUCCCUUUUAUUCAUGUCUAAUAUUUCUUUCCA